AGAGAGGCCUAUAAAUUCAUGGCCCUUCAUGAAGCAAAAAUAUUGCACUGCAAUAAUAACACAUAGUAAUCCUUUCAUAACACAUAGUAUUGUUCUCAUGGCUCGCAAUUAUGCUUACUAUUUCACUGUUGCGCUUUUGGUGAUAUCUGUGUACUUGGCUCAUUCUCCAAAAGUGAAAGUAGUUGGUGUGAGAGACUUAUCAGAACUGAAAUCAAAAUUAGUUGGGCAAAGCUUGCAGAGUGGUUGCGGUGGAUAUUGUCGACAGAACAGUGAUUGUUAUGAUAGAUAUUGCAAAUAUUGUUACUAUGAUGUUAUUCAUCAUACCUAUGGUUGUGGCUAACAAUACCAUAUAUUUUAUGCCAACACAAUAUCAUCAAUUAUGUGUGGUUUUUUUUUUUAAUUGAAAAAAUAAGCAAAACGACUAAUUAAGUUCUGGUUCUAACUAGCUAGAUCAGGAAUAUCAUAAUGUCGAAUGCAAUGUCAAGAUGGGUUGUGUUGGCCUACAAAUGUUCUUCUAGUAUUUGUACUUUGAAAUUUUAAUGGAACUUUAUCAUUUUGUUUGU